GAUGAAGAACGCAGCGAAAUGCGAUAAGUAAUGUGAAUUGAAGAAUUCAGUGAAUCAUCGAAUCUUUGAACGCACAUUGCGCCCAUUAGCAUUCUAGUGGGCAUGCCUGUUCGAGCGUCAUUUCAACCCUUAAGCCCUGUUGCUUAGCGUUGGGAGCCUACAGUACUGUAGCUCCCCAAAGUUAGUGGCGGAGUCGGUUUCACACUCUAGACGUAGUAAUUUUUUCUCGUCUGUAGUUGAGCCGGUCCCCUGCCGUAAAACACCCAAUUUAUCAAGGUUGACCUCGGAUCAGGUAGGAAUACCCGCUGAACUUAAGCAUAUCAAUAAGCGGAGGA
rnacentral:misc_RNA from 1 species